rnacentral:rRNA from 1 species
AACGAACGCUGGCGGCAGGCCUAACACAUGCAAGUCGAACGCUCGUGGCAACACGGGAGUGGCGGACGGGUGAGUAACGCGUGGGAACGUGCCCUGAGGUUGGGAAUAACUGCGGGAAACUGCAGCUAAUACCUGAUGAGCCCCGAGAGGGGAAAGAUUUAUCGCCUUGGGAGCGGCCCGCGUCGGAUUAGCUAGUUGGUGGGGUAACGGCCUACCAAGGCUUCGAUCCGUAGCUGGUCUGAGAGGACGAUCAGCCACACUGGGACUGAGACACGGCCCAGACUCCUACGGGAGGCAGCAGUGGGGAAUCUUGCGCAAUGGGGGCAACCCUGACGCAGCCAUGCCGCGUGAAUGAUGAAGGCCUUAGGGUUGUAAAGUUCUUUUGCCCGUGACGAUGAUGACGGUAACGGGAGAAUAAGCUCCGGCUAACUUCGUG